UACGUAAGUGGCGAGCGUUAUCCGGAAUUACUGGGCGUAAAGCGUGCGUAGGCGGCGUGGCAAGUCGGAAUUGAAAUCCCAGGGCUCAACUCUGGACCCGGUUCCGAAACUGCUAUGCUUGAGCGUAUCAGAGGAGAGCGGAAUUCCCGGUGUAGCGGUAAUAUGCGUAGAUAUCGGGAGGAACACCAGUGGCGAAGGCGGCUCUCUGGGGUAUUGCUGACGCUGAGGCACGAAAGCCAGGGGAGCGAACGGG
rnacentral:rRNA from 1 species